GAUGAAGAACGGAGCGAAAUGCGAUAACUAAUGUGAAUUGCAGAAUUCCGUGAAUCAUCGAGUCUUUGAACGCACAUUGCGCCCCCUGGUAUUCCGGGGGGCAUGCCUGUCCGAGCGUCAUUGCUGCCCAUCAAGCACGGCUUGUGUGUUGGGUCCUCGUCCCCCCCGGGGGACGUGCCCGAAAGGCAGCGGCGGCACCGCGUCCGGUCCUCGAGCGUAUGGGGCUUUGUCACCCGCUCUGCAGGCCCGGCCGGCGCUGGCCGACGCGAAAGCAACCAUUUUUUCUCCAGGUUGACCUCGGAUCAGGCAGGGAUACCCGCUGAACUUAAGCAUAUCAAUAAGCGGAGGA
rnacentral:misc_RNA from 1 species